CACGUAGGGGGCAAGCGUUGUCCGGAAUUAUUGGGCGUAAAGAGCUCGUAGGCGGCUCGGUAGGUCAGGUGUCAAAUCCUCAGGCUCAACCUGGGGCUCCACCUGAUACUGCUGUGGCUAGAGUCCGGUAGGGGAGCGUGGAAUUCCUGGUGUAGCGGUGAAAUGCGCAGAUAUCAGGAGGAACACCAGCGGCGAAGGCGGCGCUCUGGGCCGGAACUGACGCUGAGGAGCGAAAGCGUGGGUAGCAAACAGG
rnacentral:rRNA from 1 species